rnacentral:lncRNA from 1 species
AUCUAUCUUAAAGGUAAAGUAAUGGGUUCGUUGAUCCCUUUUAUUCAAAAAGAGCUCUUUCCAGGAGAAUAUCAUAAUAAUAUAGACAAAAGGAAGGCUGUGGGGAAAGCAACAAAUGCGUCAAAAUAUGACAUAUAGAAAACAAAAUGGUUAUGGAGUAAACAUUCGUGUGACAACAACUAAGACGAUACAUAAAAAAACAGAAUAAUGAAGAAAAAGUUGGUUUCCCUAUAUACGUGUACCUGCAGUGUUGGUGUACGAGGCGCGUUUAUGAUUCAUUAUGUUACUUGAUAUGAAAAAUUGACAAAAAAUAAUAUUUUACUUGUAAAAGUAAAUCCUGAGCCUGUAAUAGCUGC